CCCUUAGAUGUUCUGGGCCGCACGCGUGCUACACUGAGUGGAUCAGCGGGUCAGGUUGCGCGAAAGUGUUUCCUAAUCUUGAAAUCCGCUCGUGAUGGGGAUUGACGGUUGCAAUUUUCCGUCAUGAACGAGGAAUACCUUGUAAGCGCGGGUCAUCAUCCCGCGCUGAAUACGUCCCUGCCCUUUGUACACACCGCCCGUCGCUCCUACCGAUUGAACGGUCCGGUGAAAUCUUGGGAUUUGCUUUGCUUUCGUUUGUUCGAUGCUCGGCGAAGAACUUGAGUAAACCUUACCGUUUAGAGGAAGGUGAAGUCGUAACA
rnacentral:rRNA from 1 species